GUUCUCUCUCCUUCUUUCUCUCAAUCUCUGAGCUUACUCUCUCCGUGCAUUUCCUCUUCACUCUCCUGCUGGGUUUGAUGCUAUUCCUGAAACUCCUCUCCCACCAUUGCUCUCCUUAUCCUUGAUCAUCGGAAAUGAAAACCUCUUCGGUCAAGUACACCGAGCACAAACAGGUCACUAAUAAGCUCGUUAAAUGCAGUGACUCAAACUCUACCAGAGUAGUUCGGAUUUAUGUUACAGAUGGUGACGCAACGGAUUCCUCCAGCGAUGAAAAUGACAACUUAAUGUGCAGCCAUCAACGAAUCAAGAAACAUAUCAACGAGAUAAGAAUUGAAGAUUGUGUGGAAUAUGCAAUUGGAAGAGGCUCUGAGAAUUCAAAAUCAAGGUUUAACAAACAACCACUGAGAAAAAACACUAGAGAUCAGCGGUAUUAUCCAGAGGGUAAGAAGUACCGCGGGGUUCGACAAAGGCCAUGGGGAAGAUUUGCCGCUGAGAUCAGGGAUCCUUUCCGGAGAACUAGAGUAUGGUUAGGGACGUUUGACACUGCGGAGGAAGCUGCCAUGGUUUAUGACAGGGCUGCCAUUAAGAUUAAAGGGCCAAACGCUCUCACCAAUUUCAUAAAACCACCUGUGAGAACUCUUUCCCCAGAUAUUGAUAUUGCUGCAAUUUCUGAAUAUGAUUCUGGCAUGGACUCUCGCAGUCUGAGUUCUCCGACGUCUGUUCUUAGAUUUCAAUACACGGAAGAAGUUGGAAAUGAGCCACAAGUUUUGGAGGGUAAUGAGAGCGGACCAGUUGAAGAAAUGAAAGAGAAAGAGUGUGAUUGGAGAUUGAAUCAGGAAAUAGAGGAAAAGGAUUGGAGAUCCAUCCAGGGUGUACGGGAAGAAGACCCAGUUGAUUGUUGUUUUGAAGAGUUGUUGAAUUUUGAGAAUUAUGCUCCGACACUUUUGGAUGAAUGUAUUAUACAAGAUACAGUUUUAACAGAGGGUUUUGUCGAUGUUGAUGGAGAUUUUGGGUCAUGUUUAUGGGACGUAGAUGAAUACUUUUGAGGGCUAAAGCUUGCAAAAUUGGGUAUAUGGAGUGGGUAAAUUCCGAGUGGAGUUUUGGAUACUUUGCUUGCAUUAUUAUUAUUAUUUUUUCUUUUUGUAUUGGGGGGGAGUGAAAGGUUUAAUUCCUUUUUCUCACUAGAAAUGUAUAGCAAGGAAGACACUAUAUUUUGAUAUUUAUAUAUUAUAUAUAGAGAGAUAUGAUGAUGCUACGGGUUUUUGUUGGUUUUUAAAGCAAUAUAAUCUAAAAAACGAGUGGUUUGGUUUGGUUCAUAUAUUAUUUCAUAGUGGGUGACGUUCUUUCAAGAUCUGGCCAAAAAUCUUGAAAAUCCAGAGUUCCUUGGAUUAGGUAUGUGCCUCUUCCUUUUUGGUUGGUUCAUGGGUUUUCCUUGAAAGUUUUCAAUUUUUGCAGCUUGGGAAUCUAUUUUCUUGGAAUCCUGGCCGGUGAAUUUGUUCUAUGCUUUGCUUAGUGGGUUGUUCUCUUUUGCCAGUUGAAGUGUACUAAGAUCUUGAAAUUGGUCUGCAAAUAAAGGGUUGUUGUGUUUCUUUUGAAGAGGUUGCUUUUUCCCUGUAGAAAGUCUUGAAAUUUUAUCCCAAAAUGUCACCUUCUGAGCCUCACAUGUAUGAAAGAGUUUCUUGAUAAGUUAGUAUAUAUUUCCAGCACUUCAAGAAUGCAACCAUGGAAAUUUUUCAAGAAAAGGAAAAGGAGGCUAGAUAGUUAAUGCAUGGUUAUUCCAUGGAUUUGGUUUCAUUCUACUUGGUUGUGAAAGCUGAGCCAAGAAGGGUAAAGGCAGAUAGAUAAGAAGAAGAAAAAGAAUGAGUUAAUCAUAUGCAUGCACAGCGGCAGUGGUGUGUCAGAUCUGUGUGAGCGAAGGGAAAGAGUAGAGAGGUCAUUUUGUUUUCGCUGAGAAAUUAUUUGAUCUCUCCUUGGACUUUGCUUUUGUCUUCUCAAACACAUCAUCCAAGAAAUUAAAGCUGAGAUGCCAAAACCACAACCAGCUCAUCAGAAUAAUGACUCAU
rnacentral:misc_RNA from 1 species